AUUUUUAUGGAGAGUUUGAUCCUGGCUCAGGAUGAACGCUGGCGGCGUGCCUAAUACAUGCAAGUCGAGCGAACGGACGAGAAGCUUGCUUCUCUGAUGUUAGCGGCGGACGGGUGAGUAACACGUGGAUAACCUACCUAUAAGACUGGGAUAACUUCGGGAAACCGGAGCUAAUACCGGAUAAUAUUUUGAACCGCAUGGUUCAAAAGUGAAAGACGGUCUUGCUGUCACUUAUAGAUGGAUCCGCGCUGCAUUAGCUAGUUGGUAAGGUAACGGCUUACCAAGGCAACGAUGCAUAGCCGACCUGAGAGGGUGAUCGGCCACACUGGAACUGAGACACGGUCCAGACUCCUACGGGAGGCAGCAGUAGGGAAUCUUCCGCAAUGGGCGAAAGCCUGACGGAGCAACGCCGCGUGAGUGAUGAAGGUCUUCGGAUCGUAAAACUCUGUUAUUAGGGAAGAACAUAUGUGUAAGUAACUGUGCACAUCUUGACGGUACCUAAUCAGAAAGCCACGGCUAACUACGUGCCAGCAGCCGCGGUAAUACGUAGGUGGCAAGCGUUAUCCGGAAUUAUUGGGCGUAAAGCGCGCGUAGGCGGUUUUUUAAGUCUGAUGUGAAAGCCCACGGCUCAACCGUGGAGGGUCAUUGGAAACUGGAAAACUUGAGUGCAGAAGAGGAAAGUGGAAUUCCAUGUGUAGCGGUGAAAUGCGCAGAGAUAUGGAGGAACACCAGUGGCGAAGGCGACUUUCUGGUCUGUAACUGACGCUGAUGUGCGAAAGCGUGGGGAUCAAACAGGAUUAGAUACCCUGGUAGUCCACGCCGUAAACGAUGAGUGCUAAGUGUUAGGGGGUUUCCGCCCCUUAGUGCUGCAGCUAACGCAUUAAGCACUCCGCCUGGGGAGUACGACCGCAAGGUUGAAACUCAAAGGAAUUGACGGGGACCCGCACAAGCGGUGGAGCAUGUGGUUUAAUUCGAAGCAACGCGAAGAACCUUACCAAAUCUUGACAUCCUUUGACAACUCUAGAGAUAGAGCCUUCCCCUUCGGGGGACAAAGUGACAGGUGGUGCAUGGUUGUCGUCAGCUCGUGUCGUGAGAUGUUGGGUUAAGUCCCGCAACGAGCGCAACCCUUAAGCUUAGUUGCCAUCAUUAAGUUGGGCACUCUAAGUUGACUGCCGGUGACAAACCGGAGGAAGGUGGGGAUGACGUCAAAUCAUCAUGCCCCUUAUGAUUUGGGCUACACACGUGCUACAAUGGACAAUACAAAGGGCAGCGAAACCGCGAGGUCAAGCAAAUCCCAUAAAGUUGUUCUCAGUUCGGAUUGUAGUCUGCAACUCGACUACAUGAAGCUGGAAUCGCUAGUAAUCGUAGAUCAGCAUGCUACGGUGAAUACGUUCCCGGGUCUUGUACACACCGCCCGUCACACCACGAGAGUUUGUAACACCCGAAGCCGGUGGAGUAACCUUUUAGGAGCUAGCCGUCGAAGGUGGGACAAAUGAUUGGGGUGAAGUCGUAACAAGGUAGCCGUAUCGGAAGGUGCGGCUGGAUCACCUCCUUU
rnacentral:rRNA from 1 species